AUUGAACGCUGGCGGCAUGCCUUACACAUGCAAGUCGAACGGUAACAGGUCUUCGGAUGCUGACGAGUGGCGAACGGGUGAGUAAUACAUCGGAACGUGCCCGAUCGUGGGGGAUAACGCAGCGAAAGCUGUGCUAAUACCGCAUACGAUCUACGGAUGAAAGCGGGGGAUCGCAAGACCUCGCGCGGACGGAGCGGCCGAUGGCAGAUUAGGUAGUUGGUGGGAUAAAAGCUUACCAAGCCGACGAUCUGUAGCUGGUCUGAGAGGACGACCAGCCACACUGGGACUGAGACACGGCCCAGACUCCUACGGGAGGCAGCAGUGGGGAAUUUUGGACAAUGGGCGCAAGCCUGAUCCAGCCAUGCCGCGUGCAGGAUGAAAGCCUUCGGGUUGUAAACUGCUUUUGUACGGAACGAAAAAAGACUCUCUCUAAUACAGGGGGUGAAUGACGGUACCGUAAGAAUAAGCACCGGCUAACUACGUGCCAGCAGCCGCGGUAA
rnacentral:rRNA from 1 species